rnacentral:rRNA from 1 species
UUAUUUGAGAGUUUGAUCCUGGCUCAGGAUGAACGCUGGCGGCGUGCCUAACACAUGCAAGUUGAGCGAUUUACUUCGGUAAAGAGCGGCGGACGGGUGAGUAACGCGUGGGUAACCUACCCUGUACACACGGAUAACAUACCGAAAGGUAUGCUAAUACGGGAUAAUAUAUUUGAGAGGCAUCUCUUAAAUAUCAAAGGUGAGCCAGUACAGGAUGGACCCGCGUCUGAUUAGCUAGUUGGUAAGGUAACGGCUUACCAAGGCGACGAUCAGUAGCCGACCUGAGAGGGUGAUCGGCCACAUUGGAACUGAGACACGGUCCAAACUCCUACGGGAGGCAGCAGUGGGGAAUAUUGCACAAUGGGCGAAAGCCUGAUGCAGCAACGCCGCGUGAGUGAUGAAGGCCUUCGGGUCGUAAAAC